rnacentral:rRNA from 1 species
GAUGAACGCUGGCGGCGUGCCUAAUACAUGCAAGUCGAGCGAACGGACGAGAAGCUUGCUUCUCUGAUGUUAGCGGCGGACGGGUGAGUAACACGUGGAUAACCUACCUAUAAGACUGGAAUAACUUCGGGAAACCGGAGCUAAUACCGGAUGAUAUUUUGAACCGCAUGGUUCAAAAGUGAAAGACGGUCUUGCUGUCACUUAUAGAUGGAUCCGCGCUGCAUUAGCUAGUUGGUAAGGUAACGGCUUACCAAGGCAACGAUGCAUAGCCGACCUGAGAGGGUGAUCGGCCACACGGGAACUGAGACACGGUCCAGACUCCUACGGGAGGCAGCAGUAGGGAAUCUUCCGCAAUGGGCGAAAGCCUGACGGAGCAACGCCGCGUGAGUGAUGAAGGUCUUCGGAUCGUAAAACUCUGUUAUUAGGGAAGAACAUAUGUGUAAGUAACUGUGCACAUCUUGACGGUACCUAAUCAGAAAGCCACGGCUAACUACGUG